GUUGUUUUGCAGAAAUUUGGUGUAGUUCGUGGUUAUUAUGUGUCGUUUUGUGGUAAUUCUGCGUUGUGUUUUAAUAUUUUGUGGUCAUUUUGUGUUGUAUUGUUGUAAUUUCAGUCUGCGUCUCUUUCUUGUCAUUUUCUCAGAUUUUCUAUCAUUUGUUCUUAUUUCUUGCCUCCUUGUGGUGACUUCGGAACUAUUUUCUUCCCUCUUUGUUGUCUUUUUCUGACAUCAGUUGUCAUUUUUGUUCUUUUACGAUAAUUCUUGUGUUGUUUUGUGAAAAAUUUUGUGGUCAUUUCAUUGUUAUGUGGUUGUUUUGUGGUAAUUUAGUAAUUUUGCCUUAUUUUGCGGUCAUUUAUGUAACCAGGUGGUAAACAGAGACGUUUAAAUUAACUGAACUCCACUGAAAUCCCUGUUUGUGGCUCUUCUGCUGAUUUUCGGUUUGGACAGCAGGGGGCGUAUUGUGACCGGAAGUUGUGGCAACAGAGACAGUCGUGGAUCGGGACAGGAAGAAAAUGAGUACCGAUGGGGAGAGAAUGAAAACACUACACAUGUGCUGCGGGUGCUAAUGGUCCGUAUGCUAGGGAGGAGACUUCCGGUGUAUCAUUUUAUGUUCUUAGUUCCAUGAAAUAUGACUGUAUUUUUAUAUGCAUUGUGUUUUUUGUGUCGGUUAAUGAUGAGAUAUUUGUAACUGCUUUUUUGUUACUGCAGCAUGUGUUGAGCACAGGAGCUUAUACAGGGCAAUGUGGUAACUGUGUGUUUUAUUUAUCCGCGAGGUGCCACAGCUGUAUGUUUCUUGUAGGUUUCUAUUUUUGUAUGGUUCUAGUACUGUUUCUGGUACCGGUUCUUAUAUUAUUGUGCCACAGGUUUUGUGAACCACAUUUCAUUGGGUAAUUUGUAUUAUAUGUAAAAUAAAUUGGGAAACAAAGAACUCCCCACAAAUUUAA